rnacentral:tRNA from 1 species
GGAAAAAUAGUUUAUUUGAGAACCUUUGUUUUGCGUAUAAAAAGAAGAUUAUCUUUUUUCCA